GACGAACGCUGGCGGCGUGCCUAACACAUGCAAGUCGAACGGAAAGGCCCUGCUUUUGUGGGGUGCUCGAGUGGCGAACGGGUGAGUAACACGUGAGUAACCUGUCCUUGACUUUGGGAUAACUUCAGGAAACUGGGGCUAAUACCGGAUAGGAGCUCCUGCUGCAUGGUGGGGGUUGGAAAGUUUCGGCGGUUGGGGAUGGACUAGCGGCUUAUCAGCUUGUUGGUGGGGUAGUGGCUUACCAAGGCUUUGACGGGUAGCCGGCCUGGGAGGGUGACCGGCCACGUUGGGACUGAGAUGCGGCCCAGACUCGUACGGGAGGCAGCAGUGGGGAAUAUUGCACAGUGGGCGGAAGCCUGAUGCAGCAACGCCGCGUGCGGGAAGACGGCCUUCGGGUUGUAAACCACUUUCGCCUGAGACGAGGCGUGAGUGACGGUAAUGGGUAAAGAAGCACCGGCUAACUACGUG
rnacentral:rRNA from 1 species